rnacentral:tRNA from 1 species
GCGGAAGUAGCUCAGUUGGUAGAGCACCUGGUUGUGGCCCAGGCGGCCGUGGGUUCAAGUCCCAUCUUUCGCCCCA